rnacentral:rRNA from 1 species
UGGGGGCGCAAGCCUGAUCCAGCCAUACCGCGUGGGUGAAGAAGGCCUUCGGGUUGUAAAGCCCUUUUGUUGGGAAAGAAAUCCAGCUGGCUAAUACCCGGUUGGGAUGACGGUACCCAAAGAAUAAGCACCGGCUAACUUCGUGCCAGCAGCCGCGGUAAUACGAAGGGUGCAAGCGUUACUCGGAAUUACUGGGCGUAAAGCGUGCGUAGGUGGUCGUUUAAGUCCGUUGUGAAAGCCCUGGGCUCAACCUGGGAACUGCAGUGGAUACUGGGCGACUAGAGUGUGGUAGAGGGUAGCGGAAUUCCUGGUGUAGCAGUGAAAUGCGUAGAGAUCAGGAGGAACAUCCAUGGCGAAGGCAGCUACCUGGACCAACACUGACACUGAGGCACGAAAGCGUGGGGAGCAAACAGGAUUAGAUACCCUGGUAGUCCCUA